rnacentral:rRNA from 1 species
GAGUUUGAUCCUGGCUCAGGACGAACGCUGGCGGCGCGCCUAACACAUGCAAGUCGAGCGAGCGAGAGAGAGCUUGCUUUCUCGAGCGAGUGGCGAACGGGUGAGUAACGCGUGAGGAACCUGCCUCAAAGAGGGGGACAACAGUUGGAAACGACUGCUAAUACCGCAUAAGCCCACGAUCCGGCAUCGGAUUGAGGGAAAAGGAUUUAUUCGCUUCAGGAUGGACUCGCGUCCAAUUAGCUAGUUGGUGAGGUAACGGCCCACCAAGGCGACGAUUGGUAGCCGGACUGAGAGGUUGAACGGCCACAUUGGGACUGAGACACGGCCCAGACUCCUACGGGAGGCAGCAGUGGGGGAUAUUGCACAAUGGGGGAAACCCUGAUGCAGCGACGCCGCGUGGAGGAAGAAGGUUUUCGGAUUGUAAACUCCUGUCGUUAGGGACGAUAAUGACGGUACCUAACAAGAAAGCACCGGCUAACUACGUGCCAGCCGCCGCGGUAAUAC